rnacentral:rRNA from 1 species
ACACAUGCAAGUCGAGGGGAAACGACAUCGAAAGCUUGCUUUUGAUGGGCGUCGACCGGCGCACGGGUGAGUAACGCGUAUCCAACCUGCCCAUCACUUGGGGAUAACCUUGCGAAAGUAAGACUAAUACCCAAUGAUAUCUCUAGAAGACAUCUGAAGGAGAUUAAAGAUUUAUCGGUGAUGGAUGGGGAUGCGUCUGAUUAGCUUGUUGGCGGGGUAACGGCCCACCAAGGCUACGAUCAGUAGGGGUUCUGAGAGGAAGGUCCCCCACAUUGGAACUGAGACACGGUCCAAACUCCUACGGGAGGCAGCAGUGAGGAAUAUUGGUCAAUGGGCGAGAGCCUGAACCAGCCAAGUAGCGUGCAGGAUGACGGCCCUAUGGGUUGUAAACUGCUUUUAUAAGGGAAUAAAGUGAGUCUCGUGAGACUUUUUGCAUGUACCUUAUGAAUAAGGACCGGCUAAUUCCGUGCCAGCAGCCGCGGUAAUACGGAAGGUCCGGGCGUUAUCCGGAUUUAUUGGGUUUAAAGGGAGCGUAGGCCGGAGAUUAAGCGUGUUGUG